AACGUAGGAGACAAACGUUAUCCGGAGUUACUGGGCGUAAAGGGCGUGUAGGUGGUUUCGUAAGUCUGGCGUGAAAUAUCUCGGCUUAACCGAGGCAGGUCGUCGGAUACUGCGGAACUAGAGGACGGUAGAGGCGUGUGGAAUUCCGGGUGUAGUGGUGAAAUGCGCAGAUAUCAGGAGGAACACCAAUUGCGAAGGCAGCUCGCUGGGACGUUACUGACGCUGAGACGCGAAAGCGUGGGGAGCAAACAGG
rnacentral:rRNA from 1 species